UGCGAGUCGAGAGGGUUCGGCCCUCGGCUGACGGCUCAGUAACACGUGGAUAAUCUGCCCUUAGGUGGAGGAUAAUCUCGGGAAACUGAGGAUAAUACUCCAUAGAUCUAGGAUGCUGGAAUGCACCUAGAUUGAAAGCUCUGGCGCCUAAGGAUGGGUCUGCGGACUAUCAGGUUGUAGUCAGGGUAAAGACCUGACUAGCCUACGACGGAUAUGGGUUGUGAGAGCAAUAGCCCAGAGACGAUAUCUGAGACACGAUAUCGGGCCCUACGGGGCGCAGCAGGCGCGAAAUCUUCACAAUGUGCGAAAGCACGAUGAGGGGAUCCCAAGUGCUGGCACGUAAGUGUCAGCUGUUUCUUUGUCUAAAAAACAAAGAGAGUAAGAGCUGGGUAAGACGGGUGCCAGCCGCCGCGGUAAUACCUGCAGCUCAAGUGGUGGCCGCUAUUAUUGGGCCUAAAACGUCCGUAGCCGGUUUAGUAAAUGCUUGGGUAAAUUGUGUAGCUUAACUAUACGAAUACCGGGUAGACUGCUAAACUUGGGACCGGGAGAGGCUAGAGGUACUCCUAGGGUAGAGGUGAAAUUCUGUAAUCCUAGGGGGACCACCAGUGGCGAAGGCGUCUAGCUAGAACGGGUCUGACGGUGAGGGACGAAGCCCUGGGGCGCAAACCGGAUUAGAUACCCGGGUAGUCCAGGGUGUAAACGCUGCUUGCUUGAUGUUAGUUGGGCUCCGAGCCCAACUAGUGU
rnacentral:rRNA from 1 species